GCAUCAAUGGUGUAGUGGUAACCUGGGUUGCUGCCAUGAAUAAGUUCUACAAGGUGUUUUCGACCUGGCAGGGGUUUGAUUCCCCCUUGAUGCA